AUCUCCAUUUUUCAAUUCCUAUCAAGCAAUUCCUAAAGCCAUUGACCUUUUCUUGAAUCUGAAUUCAAGUUCACAAGAAAUUAAGAAAUAAGAAUAAUGAGACACCAGCAACAACUGGAAGCUGAAGAAGAUUACCAAUCAAGGGUUCUAUACGAGCUAUGUUCCAUGAUCCAUCGCACUCUCAAGUUCCCUUAUCAUCCAUAUCCAUUUCCUUCUUCUUCCUCGUCCUCCUCUUCCUCCUCGAGCCAGCCAUGGUGGACAAUGUUGUCGUGGGCCGCCGUGAGUUCCUCGCAGAAUUCUCCGGCGGCUUUCGCGUCCAUGUUUCUGGGCAUAUCACUUACACUGAUGCUAUUCGGGUCGGCCACAUUCCUAGUAGGGUUCAUCAUGUUACCAUGGGUUACUCUCUUGGUUGUGAUUUUCUGUGUAGCCUCAUUGGUUUCCAACUUAUCCAAGCUCUUGAAUCGUCUCAUUCUUGGAUCCACUACUUUCCACAAUAACGACUUCACAUACAGAUGAGGCCAGGAAAUUUUUAAAGCUCUGGGAGGGAAGAAGAAUUCACCUAGAAUUUUUGAGAGAACAGAGAUAAUGCACGAACUAGUGAUGGGCGUGUGGGUGUGGAUUACUGGUUUUGAAUUGUGGCUGGCUACAACAAUACAUGCACUUGCAAUUUUGAUGCUAGGUGUUGCAACUAUGGGCAGCGCAUCUUUUACGAUGCACAUAG